rnacentral:rRNA from 1 species
UACGUAGGGUGCAAGCGUUAAUCGGAAUUACUGGGCGUAAAGCGUGCCCAGGCGGUUUUGUAAGUCUGACGUGAAAUCCCCGGGCUCAACCUGGGAAUUGCGUUGGAGACUGCAAGGCUAGAAUCUGGCAGAGGGGGGUAGAAUUCCACGUGUAGCAGUGAAAUGCGUAGAGAUGUGGAGGAACACCGAUGGCGAAGGCAGUCCCCUGGGUCAAGAUUGACGCUCAUGCACGAAAGCGUGGGGAGCAAACAGG